rnacentral:rRNA from 1 species
GGUGAAUGCUGGCGGCGUGGAUAAGUCAUGCAAGUCAAGGGGGCCCGCAAGGGCAACCGGCAAACGAGGUAGUAACACGUAGGUAGACCCCCCAGAGUCGGGCAUAGCCAGCCGAAAGGUUGGGUAAUUCCCGAUAGUCCCGAAAGGGUAAAGGUUUUCGCUCUGGGAGUUGCCUGCGUAGUAUCAGCUAGUUGGUAGGGUAAUGGCCUACCAAGGCUACGACGCUUAGGGGAGCUGAGAGGCUGACCCCCACCGAUGGAACUGCGACACGGUCCAUACUCCUACGGGAGGCUGCAGACGAGAAUAUUCCGCAAUGGGCGAAAGCCUGACGGAGCGACGCCGCGUGAUUGAUGAAGUGCUUCGGUACGUAAAGAUCUUUUAUCGGGGACGAAGUUUAUUGACGUACCGAUGAAUAAGGGGCUACCUAACUCUGUGCCAGCAGCCGCGGUAAU